UGCGGGCAUGGAGAAGACUGGAGAAGACGCAUUAGUCCAACUGCUGAAUUGGUGUUUUACCAGGGGUCAGUCAGUGACUUGGGAUUUCAUGUAGAAGAAUUUUUCUAGGAGUCCAGGCCUUAGAUUGAGAAACCCUUGCGGAUAGUGAUGGCAUAGAGGGGGAUCUGCUUAUCCUUGGAUGAGUCACAGUGUAGGUAGCACAAGGUUCUAAGGAUUCCAUUAGGAGAAUGGAGAAGAGAAUGAGGGAGGGCCAAUGCUGAGGAAGUAAGCCCUUGCAGCCAGGAUGUACACCACUCUCUGGCAGUGUCACCACCAAGUUCCUACAAUGGUCUGCCAUGACCAGACCAUGGCAGAUGUUUUCCUUAAAGUUCAUUUAUGGUAAGAAAGUAUUUGUCUUCCUUUUUCUUAGCCCUCUCUUUCCUGGCCUGUCUUCUCUCACCUAGAUGGACUGCCACAUUUCCUGACUUUUGGCUGGCCUCAUCUAAGAAGUACUACAUGGGGCCAUGCCACCAUGGAUGGAGGCCUCUGAAACUGUGAGUGGAAAUAUAGUUCUCCCUUAAAAGUUGUUCUGUUGGCUGGACUGUUAUAGAAGUAACCAGCUCAGCAUGAGAAUGAUCUAGAUUCCACAGAGCAGGCAAGACACUCCUCUUAGAUCCCUUUUCUCUUGUCUCCCUCCUCCUGCUGAACACUCAUGAGAGGAGAGGCAUAGAAGCUUAGUUCCCGCUUUGCCCUGUGGCUUGCAUGGACGAAAGCAGGCCCUUGACACCUCCUUGAGCACUAAGUGCCUGUGUCUGGUCUUCUCAGCAUCUUUACUUCUAUCAGCCUUCUCAUAGCUUCUUCUCAGCUGCAUUCGGGGGAGGAGUCAGCCAGAGGACAGGGAGGCAGGCUGUGCCCAGCCUCAGCACCUGCUGCUCAGAACCUCCAUGCAACACACUGUGAAGGCCCUGGAAAGAGGCACUUGACCUUUCCUUGUAUCAAAAGAGAGAAGCUGUGUGGCCAGGACUGGAAUAAAAGCGAGUUCUAGCUGGAGGUGGUUCACCUUUGUGAUCUGAAAGAAAAGGGGGUGUUUGAAGAGGCAGUACAGCGCCUCUUCAUUAUCAAACCCCAGCAGGACCUUAUGAUAAUUUUUAUAACUUCUUCAUUCAGAAUUCUGGGUGCUAUGAAGGUUAAUAACUUGUGUUUAUUGAAACUUCCCUUCAAGGAACAGAGAGCUUUGCUGGCAUUUUCUAUCAGAGGCACCACAGAACCAGGUUUGGGGUGGAGGGAGUGCAGACGAGAUUGUUCCAGUCCUGGAAAAUGGCAAGCAUUAAUAGCUCCAACUGAGAGUUUAAGUGAAUUUUAGGAAAGUGCAAGGUGAGUUUAAGUCAUCCAGGAAGAGAGAGAUUUGUAGUCCAGCCACAUCCAGUCUAGACACUCAACCUGCUACUAUGAGCUUAACCCCUAUGGUGCAGCUUUCUCCUCUGUGAAAGGGGUGUGAGUCUUUUAUAUUAGUGUUGCUUUGGGAUUUAGCAGGUGGGGGUGUAGAAGGGGAGUCAGGCUGGAGAAAGGGACCCUAAUGUCAAAAUUAACAUAUGACAGAAGUCAGGUGGCAGACAAAGACUGGAAACCCUUCCUUAGCUGGGCUGUAUGUAACAUGCAGAGCAUGCUUGUAAAAAGCAAGAGAAGGUAGGUGGUCUACGAAUGGUCAAGAGCUUCCUGGGUCAGCGAUUUUGAGUGUAUCUGGGCUCUUCCCCAGCUCACUAGCCCACUCCUGUUCUCAAGAGAGUGUUCCCUUCCUGGAUAAAAGAUGAUUUUAAAGCAUGUGUCCUCCCCGCUGGGACUCAAGAACCUGGAAACUUCAGCGGGUGUGCCUGGAACUCGGAUCCACAGCAGGAGCACAGGUGCAAGCUGACUACUGUGUGGAUACUCACCCUUCAUCUCCCAAACC
rnacentral:lncRNA from 1 species